UGGGGAAUAUUGGACAAUGGGCGCAAGCCUGAUCCAGCAAUGCCGCGUGAGUGAAGAAGGCCUUAGGGUUGUAAAGCUCUUUCACCCACGACGAUGAUGACGGUAGUGGGAGAAGAAGCCCCGGCUAACUCCGUGCCAGCAGCCGCGGUAAUACGGAGGGGGCUAGCGUUGUUCGGAAUUACUGGGCGUAAAGCGCACGUAGGCGGCGCGAACAGUCAGAGGUGAAAGGCCUGGGCUCAACCUGGGAACUGCCUUUGAUACUAGCGUGCUUGAGUCCGGAAGAGGGUGGCGGAAUUCCCAGUGUAGAGGUGAAAUUCGUAGAUAUUGGGAAGAACACCGGUGGCGAAGGCGGUCACCUGGUCCGGUACUGACGCUGAGGUGCGAAAGCGUGGGGAGCAAAC
rnacentral:rRNA from 1 species